AGAAGUCACGGUCAGAGUCUACUGUCCUCAUGCGAUGGAAAGUGAGCGAGAGUGACGAGACCACGAGCAUUGUCAAAAUCAAGCAUUAGGCAUGCAUCUGGGAGCGGAGCAGCUACUGCUGUCAGUGAGAUAAGUGUCUGUUCUGGUGAGAGCUCUGCUCACGGCCCACCUGGCUCCAGGUAGGGACGUCUUGUUAGUUGGGCCUGGGUUUGUAACAAAAUGUUCAUGACUAGCUGUGGUUAUGAGGGAGACUGGGUCCCCAUUUUCAGGGUCUGCUCAUUUCUCUGCUGACAAGCGAUGUGUCCUCUGCAGAAAAGAUAGGUUCCAGGUGGUGAGUUGCUUGCCUUCCUCCCGUGUUUCUCUCUCUCUCUCUCUCUCUCUUCUCUAGUGUUGGCCAACACACUCUGUCAGUCUGUCCUUGCCUCUUUUUCUGCUGUUUCACUUCAUUGCACACAGGCAGGUGAGUUAGCUGUGUAUCCCCAGAGGCCAGGUCUCGGGAAGCAUGGCGAAGUAGGAGAGGACGAAAAUAAUGCAGGGAAGUGGGUGUGAGAGUGGAGGCAGGUACUGGAAGGUCUUGUGCACCUGUAGUGUUUUUGGCAGUGAUGGCUUUUCCAUAGGUGGUUUGCUGUUCUUGCAGAGGGCAGCGGAGCAUCUGCAGGAAGCGGACCUGCACAAUCUAGCUCUUUCGCUUUGCAGUGCAGCCGAGGAGCGCUCUUGUAAUGUUGGAGGAGCAGUCGUACUGAGAUUGGUCAGAUGAGAGAUCGGCCAACCUGUGGCAGAGACCAAGGAAGGAACAGCCACCCGGAGCCCAUCCCUAGGGAUGGAAGCCGGACAAUGAUCUGCAGAUACCACGGAGAAAGAAGUGAAGGGUAAGAGCCCACCCCCGUUGUGAGAUGGAAAGCACCAAGAGCCGGGAGACCACAAGCGUUGUCGAUGCCAGCCUAUGGCGAUGCCGUCGAUCUGGAAGUGGAGCAGCCGUCACCAUCAGUGAGAAGUGUCUGGUUUGGGGAGGACUCCGGUAACGGCCCACCUGCCUCCAGGCUGAGACUUGUCAUUAGCUGGGGCUCAGUUUGUAGGAAAAGAUUCCUGACCUGCUGUGGUUACGAGGGAGACAAGGUCCCCAUUUUCAGGGGCUGGUCUUUUCUCUGUCCACAAACAGUGUGUCCUACGCAGCAGAAGGUUGGAUCGAGGAGGAUGACUCCAGCUGUUGAAUUUCUUGACUCCAUCCCCCAUUUUUCUCUCUCUCUCCCCUAAUGUGUUGGCCAACACA